rnacentral:rRNA from 1 species
GACGAACGCUGGCGGCGUGCUUAACACAUGCAAGUCGAACGAGGAGCGAUGGAAGCUUGCUUCUAUCAAUCUUAGUGGCGAACGGGUGAGUAACGCGUAAUCAACCUGCCCUUCAGAGGGGGACAACAGUUGGAAACGACUGCUAAUACCGCAUACGAUCUAAUCUCGGCAUCGAGGAUAGAUGAAAGGUGGCCUCUACAUGUAAGCUAUCACUGAAGGAGGGGAUUGCGUCUGAUUAGCUAGUUGGAGGGGUAACGGCCCACCAAGGCGAUGAUCAGUAGCCGGUCUGAGAGGAUGAACGGCCACAUUGGGACUGAGACACGGCCCAGACUCCUACGGGAGGCAGCAGUGGGGAAUCUUCCGCAAUGGACGAAAGUCUGACGGAGCAACGCCGCGUGAGUGAUGACGGCCUUCGGGUUGUAAAGCUCUGUUAAUCGGGACGAAAGGCCUUCUUGCGAAUAGUGAGAAGGAUUGACGGUACCGGAAUAGAAAGCCACGGCUAACUACGUG